rnacentral:rRNA from 1 species
AGCGAACGCUGGCGGCAGGCUUAACACAUGCAAGUCGAGCGGGCAUCUUCGGAUGUCAGCGGCAGACGGGUGAGUAACACGUGGGAACGUACCCUUCGGUUCGGAACAACUCUGGGAAACUGGAGCUAAUACCGGAUACGCCCUUAUGGGGAAAGGUUUACUGCCGAAGGAUCGGCCCGCGUCUGAUUAGCUAGUUGGUGGGGUAACGGCCUACCAAGGCGACGAUCAGUAGCUGGUCUGAGAGGAUGAUCAGCCACACUGGGACUGAGACACGGCCCAGACUCCUACGGGAGGCAGCAGUGGGGAAUAUUGGACAAUGGGCGCAAGCCUGAUCCAGCCAUGCCGCGUGAGUGAUGAAGGCCUUAGGGUUGUAAAGCUCUUUUGUCCGGGACGAUAAUGACGGUACCGGAAGAAUAAGCCCCGGCGAACUUCGU